UGGACUUCAAUCUAGGACAGGAAGCCCAACGAAGGGUGUGAUCAGGUAAAUGAAGAGUUCAGCUUUGCUUCUCUGAAAGGUAAGUCCAGCAGAGAAUGGAGAACGGUUUGCCUUGAGGGUCAGACAACAGAAGCUAAAAGCUUCAAGAGCAGACAGCCUUUAGCCUAGCCUAGAGUCUAUAGUCCACAACCAAGGAAACUCGGAUGGAGUGGAGGAUUAUCAAGCUUUUGAAUGAAAGAGAAAGAACAGCCCACAUGCAUUUCUACACCCGAUGAAGUUCACUUGGAGGUAUUUUCUAACUGAGCACUAAACCUGCUGAUCACCACACCCACGGAGAGGCUGCUGGAAGAACCACAAUAACUUCUUGAGGAUCAAAUCACAGCCAUCUAAAUUACUCCUUUGACAGAGUAAUGGAUCUUGCAGGUGAAAGGGAGCAGUAGGUGUCAUUUAUCUUGACUUCACAAGACUUGUCAACUCUUCUUGGUCUUUUCUGAAGAACACAUUCAUAAAUAAUUUGGCAAAUUAUGACUUGGACCUCAAAAACUUUGAGCACUGGCCCAUCCUCAGAGGUCAGCAGUGGAGACUGGACUCCUACAAUGAAAUGGUAAAACCUGACCUCUGAACUUGGCAUUGAACUGGAAGAAAGAUUAGACAUGGCACAGCAGAUGCUAGAAAUACUUGGAUGCUGCAUUUACUUGAUUUGAGACUAAAGGUGAAGAUGGAGGAAGCAACAUCAACUAAGAGACAUCAACAAUGUUACCAAAAGCAGAGCUGAAAAAUAAGUCUGUGGGGUAUGGGAGGGAAAUUAAGGGAGGCCUACAUCAAGUAAUGAGCAGUGGAGCAGAGAUUUCAGAGAUCUCUAAGAUUUUCCCCACCAGGAGAAAGGGAUGUUUAUUUUCUGCUGGGACAGAACUACAGUAAAGUGAACUUGGGAACCAGGAGCCCAUUUGACAGUCACAGAGAAGCGUGCAAAUGAGCAGCUGAGAGUCUGCUGCUGAGAGGGAAAAGCCUGGCUUCUUUCUCACCGAGGUCCACAGAACCAGCAGCCUUGAUCGCUCCUCCAGGUGAAGUUCCAUGACUUUUCUCUAAGGACGAGGACCACUUGUGUGGAAGAAGAAAUAACAGUGAGACCAGGGGGAGUUGAAAUUUGGAGAUCUCCUAGCUAAAAAGCUGGCUCACUUUGUGAUCACCUUUUACUCUCUUACUAGUGGGCAUAAACAAAUACCCAGAUACUUGGCAAAAUCUUUCCACAUGAUAAGGAGGGGCAAAGACAAACAAAACAAAUUAAAAACAAAAAUAACCCUUGGGGGGAGAAAAAAGGAAUGUUACAGAAAGUUUUUAAAAAGUAAUUAAAAAGAGUCCUCAGACAAGAGAAAUAUUGUGCUCAUGAAACAAGGAUUGGAUACUAUGAAAAGAAAGAAUGCUAUAUUAGACAUUAAAAUUUUAAUAUUAAGAAUGGAAAAUAUCAGCAGGAAAAUUAGAAGAUAGAAGCUGAAGAAAGGUCCCAGGAACUGAAUCAAGAUUUCAAGAAAGGAAAAUACAAGAAAAAACAUAAGUCAAUCAGAGCAUCAGCCUAAGUAAUCCUAGGAAGGUGAACAACUGACUCAUAGGGAGUUUUAAAAAGAGAUUAAGAAAACAAGAGAAAAAGUUCAAAAUUCAAUACAGAAAAUAUUCUGUACAAAUAAAGUACAAGUGUUUCUAGAUUAAAUUGUUCAAAAAGUUUCUAGAAAGCAAAAUGACUGAUAAAAAUUAACACCCAGCCACAUCAUCUUGAAGCUUCAGAGAAGGAAGAUUCUACCAGCUAAGAAGAAGGAAAUAUUAGUUUAUCUCUUGGAUUUGGCUAAAUAAUACCCAAAGACAGCCAUUAGAAAUUAGAACGGUUCCUAAUUUCUAGGUUCUUUACAAAUGUAAUAUAGAUCUUAAAAUGAGGAUGUCAUUCUGGAUUAUCAAGCAGGGCUCUAAAUAGCAUCAUACUUGUCCUUAGGAGAGGGGGCAAAGGGGGAUUUAAAGCAGGUAGAGGGGAGGGUGAAGUAAAGAUGGAACAGAAAGGACCCUGGCCUUGGAGAUUGAUGAUUUAUGUCCACAAGCAGCAAAAGGACGGCAGCUACCUGAAGCCAGAAGCAUGAGGCUUCCUCUCUAGUGCCUCCAGAAGGAACAUGACCUGCUGACAUUCUGAUUUCAACCAGUGACACUGAUUUCAGACUUCUGGCCUUCCGAACUGUGAAACAAUAAUUCUGUUGUCCUAAGUCACCCGAUGUGCUGUAAGUUGUUUCAGCAACCAGAAGAAACAAAAGCACCUCCAAAAGGUCAAGAGUCAAAAUUGUAUCCAGAUUCUCAUAAAUACUAGAAAAGAGAAGACCCUUCCAAUCCCCAGAGGAAAUGACUUCCAACCCAGAAUUACAAACUAAGUAAUUGAUCAGUUAAGCACAAGGACAAAUUAAAGUCUUAUUUAAAUAUAUAAAGUCUUAAAAAACAGUUACCUUCCUUCUAUUCACUCUAAGAAGCUACUAAGAGUUUGUACCUCUAUCAACAUGAAGGAAAAACCAAGAGAAAAAAAGGAUCGAGAUCCACAAAAUUAGAGGUCCAACAUAGGAAAGCAAUGAAUGGCUCUGACAAGAUGAAAGGAAAAGAAAGCUUUGGAAUAUGGCUGUAAAUAGUCUGAGGCCAGCUGAGUCUGGAAGCAGAGGGCUUCAGGAGGGGUAUUGCCAAGAAAACAAGUGGGCUUUAGAGAUGACCUGGCAUGCUUGAUAUGACUGAUUGGAGUAUUCAAUGCUGAUAGAACAUCUGAGGAUGCAUUAAUAAUAGGUACAAAGACUAAUGAAAGAAACAAAGCAAUGUUACAUAAAAUAUAUUAUGAGAAAGGAAAGAGCCUUUGUGGGUCAACUGAGAACAAUGCGUAAAAAUAAAUAAUAAAUAUUGACUAACCAGUUGGCAAUAUAUCUGUGCAGGAGGUACACAAAAGGAAGUACAAUGCAUAAAUCCUCAUAUCCCAUACCGUGGAGCCACUGCAUAAUAUUUAUCAUGAAAAACAAACAAUGACGUGAGCAUGGUAUUUAGGAAUAUGAAUAUUUAUGACAGAAGAAAAAUAUUUAAAAGAGGCUAUUGUCAGGGAGCAAAUAAAUAUUGCAAAUGGGUCCAGUGAGGCAGGAGAAUGCUGACUGUAUUAUAAAUCAUGUAAUAUUCUAACUUUUUAAUUUUGCUUUGAGGUGUUACUUUGAUAAAAUUUUUAAAUUGAAUAAAGCAUAACUUGAUGUGAUGGGCUAAGUUGUAUCCCUCAUACCUAUUCGUUGAGGUCUUCACCCACAGUACAUUAGAAUGUAACCUUAUUUAAUGACAGGGUCUUUAAAGAAAUGAAUGAAUUAGAUGAGAUCCUUCAAACGGGCCCUAAUUUAGGAUGACUGCUGUCCUUAUUAAAGGAAGAAAUGUGACACAGGUACACACACAAGGUGAACAAGUGGACAAGUGGACAAGAACACCAUCUACAAGCCACGGAGAGAGGUCUUGGAAUAAAGCUUCUUGUAUAUCAAUCCUGCAGAUAUCCUGAUGUUGAACUUCCAGUCUCCAGUGAUAUGAGAAAAUAAAUUUAUGUUCUUGAACUCCCACAGCCUUGGCGCUUUGUUACACCAU